GAAGCAGCUCAAGCGGUCGCCGGAGCGCUAAGCGCUCGGAGGAAAGUCCGAACACCACAGGGCAGGGUGCUCCAUAACGUGGAGUCGCGGCAACGCGAAGGAAAGUGCAACAGAAAGGAUACCGCCCGGUAUCGACCCUUUGGGUGGGACCGGGUAAGGGUGAAACGGUGCGGUAAGAGCGCACCAGUUCCCCGGGUGACCGGGGAAGCUUUGUAAACCCCACCCGGUGCAAGACCAAAUAGGGGAACGCUUGAGGGUGGCCCGCCCGAGUUCCCGGGUAGGUUGCAAGAGGAACCGGGGAACCGGUUCCAUCAGAUGAAUGACCGCUGCCCGGUUCGCGGCAACCCGAAUCGGGAACAGAAUUCGGCUUAUGGGCUGCUUCGGCC
rnacentral:RNase_P_RNA from 1 species